CCAGUCCACUGGCCCAGGCAGCAGCGAGACCAUCAGUCCCAGCGCAUAUGUGAGGGAAGUCGUGGAGGUGACGCCAGAGUUCACCUCGGUCACCAACAGUCGCGAGCGCUUCGUUGUGGUGGCGAUGAGCGCCUUGCUCCUGCUCAUCAGCUGCACGCUUUUCGCCGUCCUCUUCACGCUCCUCUCAGACGACAGAACCUCAACUAAGUCCAAGGAGGCGAUUUAUGCUGCUUGUCGGGCGUUUAGUUUUGCAAGAGGCUGGUCGAUUUAUGAUAUAUAAGCGAAUAUCGUGCAUUAUUAUUAUUAAAGAGCGAAAACACCU